AUUUUUAAUUAUUGUUAAUAUUAAUAAAUAUAAAGUUAUUAAUAAUAAUAAUAAAUAUUGCAAUAAAUAGUAAUUUGAUUUUCAAGAUUCCAAGCAACCAAUAUAUGUGAAUGUUAUGUAUCAAGUUAAUAAUAAGUAUUUAAUAAAAAAUAUUAAUAUUUAAUAAAGAAUUAUUUUACUUUUAAUUUAUUAUUCUUUAUGUUCUUUAAAUUUGUUUCUGUAUUUGAUUCAAAAUUUAGCGCUUCAAUAUGGUCGUCGCUUCAGGUAAUCGCUAUGAUUGGUCGGCUUUUUUAUGGUGCGCGAACCGAGUUAAAAUUGAGCCCGACUUUGGCGAGACCUUGUUACUUGGAUCAUGCCUUAGCUGCUCUUUACUUCAUUCGUUUCUUGGCGUUAGUGACGACCACUUCGUGAAAAUAGUGAAAAUGGAGGACAAGGACGCUAGGACUGCGAGGGAGGAGAAGCAGGAGCUUCUUAGGAACCUUGAACAACAAAUGAAUACUGUCUAUGGAGAAUUGGCAGAAAUGGAUGAUUCGGAAGAAUUAAAUUUUGAAGACGUGUUAAAACACGAAAAAAUGGCGGACAAAGAAAGAAUGGCUGACGACAUGCCAGUCACCGAGGACGGGUCAGACAACGAAGUCGAUUGGUUUUUGGGUUGCAACCCUGUUGAAGCGGAGGAAGAGCUUAAAUUAAGUCCGGAUAUUUUAAAUAGAAUAAAAUUUUGAUUGAAAGAAGGAAUCGGCAAAAAAGAGGAAAAAGAAAAUUUAAUAGCAUCAGUUCCUACAAAGGGGGCGUUAAAUUUAGUAGCACCUCUUCUUAACCAAGAGAUCACAGUCGAUAUUCACCCAAAAGUGUUAUCAAGGGAUGAACACUUUAAGAAUUAUCAAAAUUUGACUGGAGCAUCGUUGGCACUUUGGCAGGAGUUGCAUUGGUGCUCUCUGCCAUUCUUGACGAUGCUGAUAACCCUUUGGAUCGCGAAUUCGUUUUAAAAAAUCUUUCGAAUUCUGUAAAAUUAUUAUCAGAAUUAUUCUCCGUUCUAACACAGUCGCGCAAGACUUUCCUCGUUGGUAGAUAUGAAGAAAGAAUUCAAAGAGUCUUAAAAAAAGUGGAACCAACUACCUUCCUGUUUGGUGACAAUUUAAAAUCCCUGAUAGAGACGUCGAAGGCUAUGGAGAAAGUAUCGAAAGAUUUGAAAUUGAAACCUAAAUCAAAUUUUAAAACUCCUAUCAGGACUUUAAACUGGCGCAGCUCCACCUUUAAGAAGGAGGCGAGUCGGGGGAGCUCCAGUUUAAAUCACAACACCUCCAGGAACCAGCAAAACAACUUUGGCAGUCAAAAGAAUCCGUCGAGGAAAUUCUACUCCCAGUCUCAGCCACAGAGAACCAGGAAGUAGUCGAUAAAGACUCUCACCCACCCGUUAGCAGAGGAACUUACCCUGGUUUCGGGUGUUGUAUCCGGCAGGCGUUCGAGAAAAAGGGCUUGGACAGAGAUACAAUAGAAAUAAUGGUGGCAUCUUUAGCUCCAGGUACGAAUAAGCAAUAUGACUCGGCAUUGAAGUAUUGUUUGAUUUUUUGCAUUCAGGAAAUUCAGGACCCUUUCCAAGCUAAAGAAAAAAUAAUUCUUAAGUGCUUAGCAAAAAGAUACCACGAAGGAGCUGCCUACGGAACUUUGAAUUCUUUAAGAUCGGCAAUUAACUUAAUCAACACCUGCGAGAUCAAGGAUAGCCAGUCAAUCAAUCGUUUUUUCAAAGGAGUUUAUAAACUUCGACCAACUGCCCCGAAGUAUAAUUCAACAUGGGAGGUGGAUGGAGUACUCAAGAAAUUAAAGGCGAAUGGAGUCCUUCCGAAACAUUGAAUUUAGAAACUUUAACGUACAAACUAGUGAUGCUAUUAGCAUUGGGUUCUGCUUUUAGGGUUCAAUCCCUUUCGUUUAUCGAGUUAAAUAACAUAAAAAUUCUUUCAGGUGGAUUAGAAAUUAGAAUUUCUAAAAUAGUUAAGACCUCCAGGCCAGGAGCCAACCAACCGUAUGCUUUUUUUCCUUUCUUCGAUGAUCCAGAUCUCUGUGUGGCAAAAGUUCUUUUAAUUUAUAUCGAUGUCACAAAAAACCUGAGAGGUUUUUCUCUUAAAAGUUCCUCACAAGCAGGUCAGCACACAGACCAUUAGUCGUUGGCUGAAGUUAUGUCUAAAUCAGGACUCCCUACUAAAAAUAAAAUCAGGAAUCGUCAUGAAUGGUCAGAAUUUCUGAACAUUCCUGAACAGUCUCACCACUUCUGACGUUUUCGAACGUUUCUCACCAUUCCUAACCAAAUACUUUCCAAGCUCCUCCCACUUUACUCCCACCAUUUACGAAGCUGUGACCACUUCUGAAAUUCCUGACCAUUUCUGAAAUUUUUGACUAUUUCUGAA